UUAUAUUGCGCUGUCAUUUGGAGUUCUUCAAGGAUAGACUACAUGAAUUGCUAAAUGAAAUGCUCAAUGAGUUUGAUCGCUUGGAACAGCCGCUUAUCUUGGGACUGAAGCAUUUUCUAUUGUUGCUGUAUGUGCUUUGUGCUACUUUGCAUGAUAUACAAUGUGCCGCUGUAAUUGAGCUAAAGACUGCGUCUGCUGAGACGCACUUGGCAUCCUUCAUUAUGAUGGUAUACACGACCAUACUGCUGGCUAUGAGACUCUUGGCGAGCGUAUCCAGCAAAUAUCCCAAGAUGCAAGCGACUUGUGGCAUGCUCAGACAACUAUAGGUGAUCAGCCAUAUUCUCUAUUACAUCGGUUACAUCGCAGGGCCGAGCACGUUGUUACUAUGCGCGAAGGAUUAUCGCGUAUUUCUCAAACACUUGCUCUACACUGUCGUUUCAAUUGGCUGGCCGCAUUUACUUUCACAAUAAUUUUGUUAUUCGUUAAUUUCGCAUACUUAUUUUGGAUUUCUUGGAUGAGCUUUUUCUGUAUUUUUAUGACCUUAACUGCCGAGCCGAAUAUCUCCCGCAGGUUUUGCCAUUUUCAUUUCAUCAACUACCAUUUGAGAUUUGACCGUACCCUUGAACAAUUUUUCUUAUCGGAAAAAAUAGAUGGGUUCCAGAUAAAAAUGUAUGGCAUUGAAGUGAAUAAGAAAUUUGUAUGCAAGGUUUCAACCCUCUGUGUACUCAUUUUAAUUAUAGUAGCAAAAUCAUCCGGAAUUAAAUAUAAUAAAUGUACUACCGAGCCACUAGUAUCAAAUCAAGACGUGGAUGUUGAAUCAAUCUUUAAGCAAUAUAAAGCUGUGAAAAAUAGAACCUAUACAUAAACAAAUUAAAAUCAAUACGUAAAAUGUUCGUUUACAGCAACUGACUAUCAAAACAGCAAUUAAGAAGGCACAAAAUCAGGAGAUUAAAUUUUAGCAAAAAUAACUUAAUUUUUGAUUCUGCACUGAAUGAAA